rnacentral:rRNA from 1 species
UACGUAGGGUGCGAGCGUUGCCCGGAUUUAUUGGGCGUAAAGGGCGCGCAGGCGGCCACGCACGUCCGUUGUGAAAUCGCCCGGCUCAACUGGGCGGGGUCGGCGGAUACGGCGCGGCUGGAGCAAGCUAGGGGGCAAUGGAACUCCCGGUGUAGUGGUGGAAUGCGUAGAUAUCGGGAAGAACACCAGUGGCGAAGGCGGUUGCCUGGAGCUUUGCUGACGCUGAGGCGCGAAAGCGUGGGGAGCGAUCCGG